rnacentral:lncRNA from 1 species
UUCAAGGUUAUGGUUCCCUCAGCAACUGUAUUUCAGUCACAGUGCAUGUAUAUAAUAAGACAUAAAAGUUAGCAUUUCAUACUGUGAUACAAAAUGUUACACAUGCCCAAGGGGCUUUGAGUUAUGAUUUUUUUUUGCAGGAGUUAAUUUGGUGCUGUUAGUGGAGUGAUUCCUUUAGAGAUGCAGUCAAGGUAACAUUUUACUUUUAAUUUCCCCAUAGCCAUUUUCUUUGGCCUUGUCAGCUGCAAGAAGAAAAUCAAUGAUGCAUAAAUCUCUGCUCAUGUAACUAGGUAGUAACAGUGGAAGAUGCACAGUAGGGAGAGCGCAGAUAUGACUAUGGCUACUUAAAAUUUCUUGGAGCUUGAUAAUACACUUUCUUAAGGAUUUCUCUUUUAUUUCCAGAUGCUUAACCUCAACCAAUGGAAAGGUACCAGUAGAGAAUAAUGGCUAGAAAUAGAAGCAAGGUAAUUACUACUGAACAAUCAUCAACCACUGGAUAUGGACAUGUCAACAGGAGGAACCACAACACCCUGGCUCAGCUACUCCAUGCAGCUUCAUCCCAUUUUACAGAAUGAAUACCUUGAACCAUAUAACAAAAUAAAGGCUCUACUCAGGAUAAUGGAAAUACUUUCUGUGCUGAAGGGAAACCAAUGUGAGGAAGCUGCCUGUUGGCCUGCUGUGCUUAGUGAAA